rnacentral:misc_RNA from 1 species
CUUUGCUGCCAUCAAAAAAUUGCGCGCACACACACACAAACACAUACAUACAUAAACAUAACACAAAUCCAAAUAGUCCAAAGUAAUCGAUAUGCCGAACCACGUCCGAGGACAUAAGCUCGACGAUGAUUCUAGUAUGAGGGGUCCUGAUCUCCCACAUCGGAGAUAUUCGAUGCCGGAGACGGUGAUGAGGAAGUUCCGGUUGGGCCAGAGUUCAAGCAGUUCCUCCGAGAGCGUCAACAGAAGGAACGGACGCCCGCGGAGGAACGCGACGAGGAGGAAACCGUCCAAGCCGAGCUGCAGAGUCAACAGGUCGUCCCAGACGAGCCCGCAAGUCAAGUGCCAAUCCGACAGCCAGCCCCUCAACGAGCGAGUGUUGGUGGAAAGUUCUCCUUCCUUGUCGAGGCCGAGGGCGAGCUCUUUUCCCGACGUCUCGUCUUCGGACGAAGGGAAGAUUUAUAAAUGUUUGAGGCCCGCAUCGGCGAGCGAUAAGCUCUUCGGGACACCAUCGCCCUCGCAUGUCUCCUGCUAUGGGCCCGCCGGGCAUCGCUGCGGCCUCUGCUCGAACAGUUGGUCCUACACGUCUUCUGACUACACCCUGAGCCAGACGGUGUCGGACAGGACGACUUCGACCCAAGACUCCACAUUGAGCGUUCAAUCUUCAAGCCCGACGACCGUUACGCCCAUUUCCUUCAACUCGGAAAAGGCGAGAAUCCUAGAGAGAAGCAUAUACGCCCCUUCGGGAAACUUAAUAGCCGUCCACACCGAAUGCCUCCUGAUACGGCCUAUCCAGGUCUCGGACGACGCGAACAACUGGCACUUCGGCUUUGCCCAGGACGACGAGGAAAGCAGGCUCGCGCUGAUGCCACAAUCGGUGGGCACCAUCACGGAAGACGAUAUCGGGGCCAUCACCUCAGGGAGAAAAGACAGAAGCACGUCAGUCGGAGAAUGGGACAAGCGAGAACUCAAAGAAAUCCAGUCAAAAAUGGACAAGAGCACGUACAUUGACAGCGCACUAGAAUACGUCUCGGACGUCUCAGAGAACGCUCAACCGCCAAAGUCCAUCUCAAAAAUCGAGUAUUCCAGAGAAAUAGGUGUGAACACUGAUGUUGAAAAUGCAUUUACAAACGUAGGCGUUCAAGUGAGCGAAAAUAAUUUUAACAGGGAUAAAAAAAACGCCAAGCCAGCAAACGGUAAUAUAACACCUGCUGAAGAAAAGCCGAGAAGACUUAGGCAAAUUCACAAACUCGGAAAAAGCUUAGAUAGAAAAGACAAAUGUCACCAGACGGAAAAUAUUCUUAAAUCGAGUAAAUCGUUUCCUCCCUUGGCAGUUUGUUAUCAAAAAGCGGUGAGCAAGAGUCUGGACGCGGAUGUCGCCUGCACCGGAGGCAACUACAAAGACAUGGCAGAGGCGGAAUCCGUGAUAGCCAGAUUUUCCGCCGUGCCGAGGUCAAACUCGAUGAUAGUCAAUACUUCUUCUGUUGACUAUUCCAGCGACAGUGACCUGAGUCUGACCGACAGCCUCGAAGACCAGUUGACGGUAGAGAAUGAAUGGCCGGAGAGCAAGCACGACAACAGGCUGGUCAGAGGUGAGGUCAGUUUAGAGGCUUCGCACAGCAAAAAGAAAUUUCGAAAAGGAGGAGACGCCUACGCUUAUUUUCUGUCCAUCAACGGGGAACAGGACAUGAUCAAAGAGUACCCCAUCCCCGAAUGGCUGUCCGCACGUCUGAAAAGGAGCGAGGAAGAGAUUAAAAAACUAUUCGAAAUCAAACUCAACAAAAGUCAAACUAUUAUAUACAGGAGGAGGAAGAAGACUGUGAAAAGGGUGGAAAAUUACGAAUCGAAUUCGUCCAAUUCCAAAGAGAACCCAAAGAGAAAAUCUGCCAAAUCUGUAAAGUUCGAGUGCAAAGGGAACGAGGAAAGUCAGAGCAACACAAGGAAAGGGACCGACAGAGUGGAACAGACGAGUUCGAACAACAGAGGAGAAAGUAAUAAAACGGUGAUCGUUAAACCGAACAAUCAACCGUGCGAUCGAGACGACAAACCGUCAAAAGAAAACGGCCAAUUAGCUAUAACGAACAAAAACAGCCAAGAUGGUCAAAAUUACGUUCACAUUUCUGAGAUAAUCAAGAUAGAAAUGUCGAACCAGUUAAAAACUGUGAUAACUAAGGAGAAACAGAUCAACCUGAACAACGAAGCUUUUUUAAAAGACGGUAAAAACAUACAAACUUCCGAAGUUAUAAAUAACGAAGACGCCUUCAACAGUCAGAAGAUCAUAAUGAAAUCGAACGUUGGGCAGUUCCAACUGGACGCAGGGUCGACGAACGUCGAAUUUCAGAGCACGAAAACUCGCGAAGAAGAAAAGGACGAGAAACAACAGAAGCAUCUGAAGAAAUUAGAGGUCGUGAAAAAGCAAGAAACUAGAGGAUAUUCUUUUAAACAGUUCAGACCGCUUUUCGAGUCGAAAGCCGACGACAGGACGGUCGCUGAAAUUCUUUUGUCCGCUAUGAACGAAUGCAGUAACCCGGAUGAAGAUGAGAAAGGAUCUAAUACGAAACACGAGUCGAAAUCCGUCUCGACUGCAGAUUCUCCAUUUACGACAGACAGAGGAGAACAAGUUGAGACGACAGAAUCGAAAUCAGUGUCAACAGAAGAUCCUUUUACAGUAGAUGAAGAACUGCAGGUCGGCAAAUCUGUCGAAUCUAAAGCGGUCUUGACUGACGCGUUUUCCGCUGUUAAUGUUCACCAAGAGGCAAUGGAGUCCAAAGCGGUGUCCACUGCAGAUUCACCUUUCACAGUGAACCAGAUGCAGCAGACGGAGGAUGAAGAAUUCGAUGAGAAGAACACAACGGAAAAAUCCUGCAAUACGACCCAUCCCUAUCUCUCAGAGCUAAUCCAAACGACCGAAUCCUAUCUAGAAAGAACUCAAAAUAAAGAAUCUGCAGGUCACAUGGAGACAGAUUCUUCAGAAAACAGUCCCACCCCGGUGUUCGACAACAUCUUGAGGAUGGAUGAAAAAGCGAGCAACACAAACAGUUUUUCCGUGUCAACCCUGGUACAGACAAAAGAGUCUUUUCCGGAGGAUGAAAUAUCGUUUAUCGAGAUGCUCAACAACCAAGAAGACAAAGGGACCGAAACAAUCGACGAGGUAGACAGCAAAAUGGAUAAAUCUUGUAACACCGUGAAUCCUCUGGCAUCUUCUUCCUCACAGACUGAGACGGUCAAUGAAGUCAAGCCAUUUUUGAAUGAUGGCAAGGCAGAAAAAACCGGUCAUAAGGCAAAAAAGGACACUAUUAGGAGGGUGCCUCUGGCUGUGGAGAAAAGUGCUAAAAGUAAAAAAGAAACUAAUCUUUAUUGCAAGAGGACCGGCCAGCUGUUGACAGACGACCCGAACACAACUGACAUUCUAGAAUUGACCAAUCCACGAUGCAGUUGCCACAUCUGCGUUCUGCAUAAAAAACAAAUAUCCGUCGCUGCUGAGAAACAAAAGGAGAACCAAUCGUCCAGUAACAAUUUGAAGACAAAGCUGCAACACAGAAAGCUUACGGAUCAAAAAGAAGACAAAAGACCUCAAAAAGUCUGCGGAAGGGGUAAAAACGGUAAUAAUAAAUUUCUAAGGAAGUUCGAAGCAAUACCUGAAGAGAAGAACAGCUCCAAUGAGUCUGUGAUGGAAGAGCAGAUCAUCCCUCUGGAUCUAGGGAGGGAAUGGCAGAAAUCUAACAAGAGCACGAUGACCAACCAGAGGCAGCUGAAAGAAAUCAAAGAAGAUACCGAGAUGAGGUACUCACCGGAAGAUGAUGCUGUUGAGACGGCCACAAAAAAGCCAGUCCAGGUAGCAGGCAAAAAGUCCAAUCUUGUCAUCGGGAGGUUCAGAGCGAUUCCAGAUGAAGAAGGGAAGAAAGAAUCAGGUAAUCUCGGCGAAGGGCUGGAAGUCAUUCGUCAAUACAAAGGAAGAGCCGCACUUGCAACGACGCAUGUCGAGGAACACGAUGAGCUCAUGACACUCUCCAAAGGAUGGAUCAACUUCUACCUUCUUAAAGACAGUCAGGAAUUCUCAGACAAUGAAGAAGCUCAGAAUUGGCAAAAUGAAGGGAACCAGAUGAUCCCGAAGAUAUCUGCAGGCAGUAAGAUAUCCGAAGAGAGGUUCAAGCAGUAUACCGUGGAGAUACAUGCUACACCAGAGCAUAUGCAGCAGAAAGGAGUCGUUCUACCUGACCUUCCGCAAAGAGAGACCAAAAAGAAGCAGAAAAACAGCAAAAACCCCAGUAAUAUCACAUUACCCGAAAUCCACAGUUCGAGUUCCUCCUCAACACCGGAAAAUGUCGAGAAACUUCAGCACAGUUCAAAAAAAUACCAACAACAGCUUCCCGAAGUGUGUGGCAGGAAAAAGAGACGAGAAUUCAACACAAUGAGAGAGCACGUAACCGCUAUAGAAAAACUGUCGAAGACUGGUGUCGAAAGGGAAUUUGAAAUAGCAGAGAACACACUAUCUACAAAGGCGGUAGAAGUGGCACGGUCUGAACAUUCUGUCAGCUCAAUUACAUCCUCAACGGUAAUUCUUUCUGAGAGUCCUUCGCCUCAACAGCUUCAACUAUCAGAGCGCAAAUCCCACCAUAAGCAUCAGGCUUUUUACAGCCAACCAGCUAACGACAUGGGCACCAGCUGGACAGUGACAGUUGCCGGGUCGAGUGGGACGAAGGACCGGACACCCCCAGAUGUUGAGAUGAAGCUCACAUUCGCCAAAACCAACUCGAGAAACGGCCAAGAAAACACCAGUUCAGAAAGGAGCGUUAUGCAGUACAAUUCACACCAAACAUCCCAAAUCAGCAGAUCUAAGAGGCAAGGAGGAAAGAUGAUUGAACAGUAUGCACACAGUUUAAGAAACGAAAGGCAUUCUCUCCAAUACGUGCCAGAGCUUUCGUUUCAAAAUCUUCAACAGACCAAGUUUGAAGAAUGUAGGAGUGUGUGUUGAUAGAAGGAGAGAACGAGGUUGGAGCCGCCUGACGACAUGGACGGUUUUCUCGACCCGGAAUACGCCUCCCGUUUUGACACAAGGUCAAAAAUGAGCUUGGAAGG